rnacentral:rRNA from 1 species
ACUCCUACGGGAGGCAGCAGUGGGGAAUAUUGCACAAUGGGCGCAAGCCUGAUGCAGCCAUGCCGCGUGUAUGAAGAAGGCCUUCGGGUUGUAAAGUACUUCAGCGGGGAGGAAGGCGGUGAGGUUAAUAACCUCAUCGAUGAC